rnacentral:rRNA from 1 species
GACGAACGCUGGCGGCGUGCUUAACACAUGCAAGUCGAACGGAAAGGGCCUGCUUGCAGGGUACUCGAGUGGCGAACGGGUGAGUAACACGUGGGUGAUCUGCCCUGCACUUCGGGAUAAGCCUGGGAAACUGGGUCUAAUACCGGAUAGGAGCCCUUUUUAUUGAGAUGGUUGGAAAGUUUUUUCGGUAUAGGAUGAGCUCGCGGCCUAUCAGCUUGUUGGUGGGGUAUUGGCCUACGAAGGCGGCGACGGGUAGCCGGCCUGAGAGGGUGGACGGCCACAAUAGGACUGAGAGACGCACCAGACGCCUACGGGAGGCAGCAGACGGGAGUAUUGCACAAUGAGGGCGAGCCUGAGGCGGCGACGCCGCGUGGGUGAUGACGGGCUUCGGGUUGUGAACGCCUUUCGCUAGGGACGAAGCUUUUUGUGACGGUACCUAGAUAAGAAGCACCGGCUAACUACGUG